rnacentral:rRNA from 1 species
ACGGGAGGCAGCAGUGGGGAAUUUUCCGCAAUGGGCGAAAGCCUGACGGAGCAAUACCGCGUGAGGGAAGACUGCCUAUGGGUUGUAAACCUCUUUUUUCAGGGAGGAAUAAAUGACGUGUACCUGAAGAAUAAGCAUCGGCUAACUCCGUGCCAGCAGCCGCGGUAAGACGGAGGAUGCAAGUGUUAUCCGGAAUCACUGGGCGUAAAGCGUCUGUAGGUGGUUUAAUAAGUCAACUGUUAAAUCUUGAGGCUCAACUUCAAAAUCGCAGUCGAAACUAUUAGACUAGAGUAUAGUAGAGGUAAAGGGAAUUUCCAGUGGAGCGGUGAAAUGCGUAGAUAUUGGAAAGAACACCGAUGGCGAAAGCACUUUACUGGGCUAUUACUAACACUCAGAGACGAAAGCUAGGGUAGCAAAUGGGAUUAGAUACCCCAGUAGUCCUAGCCGUAAACUAUGGAUACUAGAUGUUGAACAGAUCGACCUGUGCAGUAUCAAAGCUAACGCGUUAAGUAUCCCGCCUGGGAAGUAUGCUCGCAAGAGUGAAACUCAAAGGAAUUGACGG